UACGGGGGGAGCAAGCGUUGUUCGGAUUUACUGGGCGUAAAGGGCGCGUAGGCGGCCACCGCAAGUCGACUGUGAAAUCUCCGGGCUUAACCCGGAAAGGUCAGCCGAUACUGUCGGGCUAGAGUGCGGAAGAGGCGAGUGGAAUUCCUGGUGUAGCGGUGAAAUGCGCAGAUAUCAGGAGGAACACCGAUUGCGAAGGCAGCUCGCUGGGACGUAACUGACGCUGAGACGCGAAAGCGUGGGGAGCAAACAGG
rnacentral:rRNA from 1 species